GGCCCCGUAGCUCAGAUGGAUAGAGCAACAGCCUUCUAAGCUGUAGGUCGCCCGUUCGAAUCGGGCCGGGGUCG
rnacentral:tRNA from 1 species